rnacentral:lncRNA from 1 species
AAAAUUAUGGGACCGAUUUCAUUCUUCUCCUUUUAAUUUCUACUUUCUAAAAAUGAUUUUUAAUAUUUUUUAUUUUAUCAUUUGAUAUUUUUUAGUAAUUUUCUAUUUUUUGGUUAUUUUUAAUUCAUUUAAAAUAGUUUUUCAUAUUCAAAAAAUACAAAAAUAUUUUUCCAACCUCUUUGAAUGAUGAUAGAUCUAUGAAAAAUAUUCUCAUCAAUUUAUUAAUUGAUUUGAGAUUUAUUUGAGAUU